UACGUAGGUGACAAGCGUUGUCCGGAUUUACUGGGUGUAAAGGGUGCGCAGGCGGACUGGUAAGUCAGUGGUGAAAUCUCGUCGCUUAACGACGAAACUGCCUUUGAUACUAUCAGUCUUGAAUCCGGUAGAGAUCUGUGGAAUUCCGAGUGUAGCAGUGAAAUGUGUAGAUAUUCGGAAGAACACCAGUGGCGAAGGCAGCAGAUUGGGCCGGUAUUGACGCUCAGGCACGAAAGCAUGGGGAUCAAACAGG
rnacentral:rRNA from 1 species